UACGUAGGGUGCGAGCGUUUAAUCGGAAUUACUGGGCGUAAAGCGUGCGUAGGCGGUUCGUUAAGUUCGUUGUGAAAGCCCCCGGGCUCAACCUGGGAAUGGCAAUGGAAACUGGCGGGCUGGAGUGAUGGCGAGAGGGGGUGGGAAUUCCGCGUGUAGCAGUGAAAUGCGUAGAGAUGCGGAGGAACACCGGAUGGCCGAAGGCAGCCCCCUGGGCCAAUACUGACGCUCAGGCACGAAAGCGUGGGGAGCAAACAGG
rnacentral:rRNA from 1 species